GCUCAAUUCACUACCAGGUUCUGUAGCUGCAUCUCUCUGUGUGUGCUCGGGUGGGGUGGGGACAGAGGUCAUCACUGCGGCAGUGUGGAGCACCCACCCCCAGAAGAGCAAGGCCAAGCAUGCGUGGUGAACUUGGCCUCGAGAAUGGAGACACACUGGGAAAGCGAGGGUUAACUUUUCCAGGCCUGGGACAGCCCGCCUCCUUGUGGAAGAGACCCUGGGCUGGCAGGGUGGGACCAUCUUUGUUCAGCCCCCUGGGUCUAGACAAAGUGGGUCAUUUGGGAUACCUCUGAAUGCCUGGCGUGUUCCACUCAGGUCACUCUGGCUGCUGUGAGGAAACUAAAUUGAAGGGGACAAGACUGGACGGCGAGGGACCAGCUGGGAAGCUCUUGAGAAAUGGUUUGGAAUGUCUGUUUGCCGUCAAUGUCAACCUGACUCGGAGAACAUCCAGCUCGGAGAGGCCUGCUGGGUCUGGCAGGGGACACGGGGCUGAGCGAUGGGAGCAGGCCACACAUGGAGCCCCCAGCCCCUUUCACAGUCCUCUGUGUUGGAGACCCCAACCCAGGCACGUGGCCACACUGGGCCCUGGCAUCAAGUACUAGAUGGGUGUCAGGCCGCUGAGGUCCGUGGGUCCUCUGGAGCUCUCGGCCCAGGCUCCCUGCCCCUCCCUCCUGCCCUUUCCUUUGGCAGGAUAUGAGGAACCCUGGGCCCUCCUCCAAGGAGCCGCCCCUUCUUUCUGGGCCUUUGAUCACAUAGGUCUCUCCACCUGACAUGACCUCUCCCACCUCCCAUCUCCACCCGUCCAAACCCUUCCCAUCCAUGGGAGAUCUCAGCUCUGCAGCCAGAUGGCUUAGAUUUGCAUCUAACCUCCGCCGUUUCUAGCUGUGUUGC
rnacentral:lncRNA from 1 species